GAGAAAGGUGUCGAAUUCAACGGACAUUUUACAGCACAAUGCCUUUCGUAGAUGUCCCAUGGAGCAGUUUGUGUUGAUUAAAUGACCGCCUAGAAUGAAGAAUAUACGCGCGAGUGAGAGAGAGAGAGAGAGAGAGAGUCACGGGCAAUGCGGUCAGCAUCCAGUUUUCUCUCUUGGAACAACAAAAUCAGCCAGAAUUCAUUAAUAUCGAAAAGCAUUUGGAUGUCUUGCGUGCAUGGGGCAGAUAGGUGGAAAAACAUUUAUGCUUCAUUAAUUUUUUGAUGUUGAAAACGAAGCUGUUGGAGUAUCGAACAACAAUCCAAUGAUCAUAAAAAUAAGCCCGGAAUGUGCUGGAUUCAUCUAUCUAUGAGAGAUGCAAGAAUUUAGGUUGUGAAGCUCUAGCAAUACGUAUUUCCAGCGAAUCGCUUUCAUACGAGAUAAGUGGCGAUUUCAAAUCAAUACAUAUAUCACGGAGCCGACAGAUUUACGUGCACAAAGGAUGAGUUGAUUAUCAUGGGAAUUUGGAUUAGAGCGUGUGUCACUCAAUCAUUUCGAAGCGUGUGUACAUCGGGCGAUAACGACGGCAAUUCGAAAUUGCCUCGUAACGAUCAAAGUCCAUCAAAUUCACAGCAUAUUUGUGAAAUGCGUUAAUUUUGUCCCACAUCCACACGAAAUUACUGCAGUUAAAUGCAGUUUUCGGAUCGAAAAUUGAUUCAAAUCUAAGAUUAGGCAAUAUGUUUUUGUUGACGAAUUAGAAUGCCACACAAAGAAGCGAGCAAGAUAAGAAAAAAAAGAGGUGAAAAUGUUGAGAUCUUUGUUUUCGUUAUCAGGCCCAAUAAAAUGAAUCUUUUUU